rnacentral:rRNA from 1 species
UUGUCCACGCCGUAAACGAUGUUCACUCGAUGUAUGCGAUAUACAGUAUGCGUCCAAGCGAAAGCGUUAAGUGAUCCACCUGGGGAGUACGAUCGCAAGAUUGAAACUCAAAGGAAUUGACGGGGGCCCGCACAAGCGGUGGAGCAUGUGGUUUAAUUCGAUGAUACGCGAAGAACCUUACCAGGGCUUAAAUGCAGGACGACCGGUCUGGAAACAGACCUUUCUUCGGACGGCUUGCAAGGUGCUGCAUGGUUGUCGUCAGCUCGUGCCGUGAGGUGUCGGGUUAAGUCCCAUAACGAGCGCAACCCCUAUCUUUAGUUGCCAGCGGGUCAUGCCGGGGACUCUAAAGAAACUGCCAGCGUAAGCUGUGAGGAAGGUGGGGAUGACGUCAAAUCAUCACGGCCCUUACGUCCUGGGCUACACACGUGCUACAAUGGCGGAGACAGUGAGAUGCCAACUUGCGAGAGUGAGCAAAUCUAAAAACUACCGUCUCAGUUCGG